ensembl:lncRNA
CAGUGCCAUCAUUACCAUCAGUGCCAUUAUCACCAUCAUUACCAUCAUUGUCCCCAUUGCCCCCAUUGCUAUCAGUGUAUCGUUACCAUCACUGCCCUCAUUGCCCUCUAUUGCUAUCAGUGCCAUUAUUACCAUCAUUACCAUCACUGCCCUCAUUGCCCUCAUUGCUAUCAGAGCCAUCAUUACCCUCAGAGCCAUCAGAGCCACUGUCGCCAUCACUGCCACCAUUACCAUCAUUGCUAUCAGUGCCCCCAUUGCCCCCAUUGCCCCCAUUGCCCCCAAUCAGUGCUAUCAUUACCAUCAGUGCCCUCAUUGCCCCCAUUGCCCUCUAUUGCUAUCAUUGCCAUCAGUGCCACCAUUACCAUCAGUGUCCCCAUUGCCCUCAGUGCUAUCAGUGCCGUCAUUACCAUCAUUGCUAUCAGUGCUAUCGUUACCAUCACUGCCCUCAUUGCCCUCAUUGCUAUCAGUGCCAUCAUUACCAUCAUUGUCCCCAUUGCCCCCAUUGCCCCCAUUGCCCGCAUUGCUAUCAGUGCCAUCAUUACCAUCACUGCCCGCAUUGCUAUCAGUGCCAUCAUUACCAUCAUUGCUAUCAUUACCAUCAGUGCCAUCAUUACCAUCACUGCCCUCAUUGCUAUCAGUGCCAUCAUUACCAUCACUGCCUGCAUUGCUAUCAGUGCCAUCAUUACCAUCAUUGCUAUCAGUGCCAUCAGUGCCAUCAUUACCAUCACUGCCCGCAUUGCUAUCAGUGCCACCAUUACCAUCAUUGCCAUCAUUGCCAUCAGUGCCCUCAUUGCUAUCAGUGCCAUCAUUACCAUCAUUGCCAUCAUUACCAUCAGUGCCAUCAUUACCAUCACUGCCCUCAUUGCUAUCAGUGCCAUCAUUACCAUCAGUGCCCUCAUUGCUAUCAGUGCCACCAUUACCAUCAUUGCCAUCAUUGCCAUCAGUGCCCUCAUUGCUAUCAGUGCCAUCAUUACCAUCAUUGUCCCCAUUGUCCCCAUUGUCCCCAUUGCCCACAUUGCCCGCAUUGCCCUCACUGCUAUCAGUGCCACCAUUACCAUCAUUGCCAUCAUUACCAUCAUUGCCCCCAUUGCUAUCAGUGCCACCAUUACCAUCAUUGCCAUCAUUACCAUCACUGCCCGCAUUGCUAUCAGUGCCACCAUUACCAUCAUUGCCCCCAUUGCUAUCAGUGCCAUCAGUGCCAUCGCUGCCCGCACUGCUAUCAGUGCCGUCAUUACCAUCACUGCUAUCAGUGCCAUCAUUACCAUCACUGCUAUCAGUGCUAUCAUUGCCAUCAGUGCCCGCACUGCUAUCAGUGCCGUCAUUACCUCAGAGCCGCCGUGUCUGAGUGGCACCGCCGUGUCUGAGUGGCACCGCCGUUAUCUGAGUGGCACCGCCGUGUCUGAGUGGCACCGCCGUGUCUGAGUGGCACCGCCGUUAUCUGAGUGGCACCGCCGUUAUCUGAUGGCACCGCUGUGUCUGAGUGGCACCGCUGUGUCUGAGUGGCACCGCUGUGUCUGAGUGGCACCGCCGUUAUCUGAGUGGCACCGCCGUUAUCUGAUGGCACCGCCGUGUCUGAGUGGCACCGCCGUGUCUGAGUGGCACCGCCGUUAUCUGAGUGGCACCGCCGUUAUCUGAGUGGCACCGCUGUGUCUGAGUGGCACCGCCGUUAUCUG